GGAGAGGAGGGGGGUGAAGAACGAGCUUUCUUCUUAUUUGAAGACAGCAGCUUGAGAAGACUUUUCUUUUCUCUCUGCAGGAAUCAGACAGCAAAGCAGUUUACAUUUGAAUAACUCAGGAACAACACGGUGCACAUCAAGAUGAUUCA